CUUGGAUCUGGUACCUGUAAACAAAAUCCCCUGACCAUCACACGGAUAUAUUCUUUAGCUACAAAUAUGGUCCAGGUCUGCUGUUAAAACUGGGACACUGGCGGCCAGGAAUACAAGAGCAAUUGAGACAGGAAAAGGUAAGAGAAUGUAAUUGUGAUCUAGCUGUUACAGUACUGCGUUGCAGAUUUCCAUGGUCCUAGGUCCUGUUUCCCUAAUUAGCCUCAUUUAAAUCCAAUAUAAAGUAUUGGAACAAUUAGGAACAAUUUCCAACUACAUAAACCCUAAAAAGUAUUAGAGAUUGUGAUUUUUACAGCAUAUUACUUGUAUAAAUGUAGCAUUUAUAUACUUUUAUAGUGUAUGGAAGGUACACAAAGAUUGACUGAUGUUAUUGCAAUAAUGUCUUGUAGUGAUGAUGUAAUGUCAAUUGAAGUGUGUAUCAUUUAUGGAGUACUGAAUUAAAGGCUUCCAUAUCCUGAAAAUUCUUUACUAUCAGUCGUGGACUUCUGGAAACUGGGCAUAGCCAUAGGGAUGGAACAGAUGUGUCUGCAUCAGUUGUUCUAGUGCUUAUGACGUACUCAGAUGUUCUCUGAGGGUUUUCAUCUCUGCUAGGAUGAAGCUGCUAGCAAUAACAGUGGGCGCUGGUGUCAGGAAUCAAUAUACAGAGAUGAGGAAUCAUGCUACAGACAGAUUCCAGGAGAAGAAUGCAAAGAUCAAAGUGGGACAGCAAAAAGAGAGCAAGUCAGAGAAAGGUUCCACAUCUUCUCUUGACAAGGAAAUGAUAUCCAUGGCUUGUUGGAACAUGCUACAGCUUCUAGCAGGAUUCAGUUAAUCAAAAGAGAGGAAUCUUUGUCAGGUUAAAAAGGUAUAUCCAUUCAAUGGUGGUAUUUCAU
rnacentral:lncRNA from 1 species